GACGAACGCUGGCGGCGUGCUUAACACAUGCAAGUCGAACGGAAAGGCCCUGCUUGCAGGGUGCUCGAGUGGCGAACGGGUGAGUAACACGUGGGUGAUCUGCCCCUUACUUUGGGAUAAGCCUGGGAAACUGGGUCUAAUACUGGAUAGGACAUUGCUGUAGGUGGUGUGGUGAAAAGAUUAGUUUCGGUAAGGGAUGAGUUCGCGGCCUAUCAGCUUGUUGGUGGGGUAUUGGCCUACCAAGGCGUCGACGGGUAGCCGGCCUGAGAGGGUGGACGGCCACAUUGGGACUGAGAUACGGCGCAGACUCCUACGGGAGGCAGCAGAGGGGAAUAUUGCACAAUGGGCGCAAGCCUGAUGCAGCGACGCCGCGUGGGGGAUGACGGCCUUCGGGUUGUAAACUCCUUUCAGCCAUGACGAAGCCCUUGUGGUGACGGUAGUGGUAGAAGAAGCACCGGCUAACUACGUG
rnacentral:rRNA from 1 species